AGUGAACGCUGGCGGUAGGCCUAACACAUGCAAGUCGAACGGCAGCACAGUAAGAGCUUGCUCUUACGGGUGGCGAGUGGCGGACGGGUGAGGAAUACAUCGGAAUCUACUUUUUCGUGGGGGAUAACGUAGGGAAACUUACGCCAAUACCGCAUACGACCUACGGGUGAAAGCAGGGGAUAUUCGGACCUUGCGCGAUUGAAUGAGCCGAUGUCGGAUUGGCUAGUUGGCGGGGUAAAGGCCCACCAGGGCGACGAUACGUAGCUGGUCUGAGAGGAUGGUCAGCCACCCUGGAACUGAGACACGGUCCAGACUCCUACGGGAGGCAGCAGUGUGGAAUAUUGGACAAUGGGCGCAAGCCUUAUCCAGCCAUACCGCGUGUGUGAAGAAGGCCUUCGGGUUGUAAAGCCCUUUUGUUGGGAAAGAAAAGCAUCAGGUUAAUACCCCGCUGUUCUGACGGUACCCAAAGAAUAAGCACCGGCUAACUUCGUG
rnacentral:rRNA from 1 species